GCUGCACGGAGGGAGGAAUGAGGAAAGAAAUGCAGAAAAUGUGACACAUCAGCAGAACCAUCCCCGGACAGUCCAGCACUGCACGUCCUGGGGCCGAGCAGCCCCUCGCCAUGGGACACCCCGAAACAUGAUUCAGAGACCAGAAGCUUUUUGCCCGUGGCAAAGCGCGACCGCUGGAACAAAGAUGCAGCUUUGCCGGCCUGUAUUGCCACAAGGUCUUAGCAACAGUCCUGCGUUGUUUGGUAACGUACUGGGGGAAUAAUUGUUUGGCAAUUAGCUGUGACCAUGGUGGUGUUUCCAGAGGCAAAGAACCGUACCUGGGGACAGCAGGUGACUGUGUUUGUGCCACAGCACCAACAAGGACACAGGCGUCUGUCACCUUGCUGAGCGGUGCGGUACCGAACAGCUUAAAAACAGCAACAGACUUGUCACCAGACUCUGAAUGUGCUCUUGGAAGAGAUUCUGGCUUCAUGAGGGUCACCUAUCAAAUGCAGGCAAGAAAUACUGCAGCUGUGGAAGCCGUCCGAAAACCCGGAGAGGUGUCAGCACUGCACCGUAAGGCUCAGUGACUGCACAACCUGAAUUUGUACCGGGAAUUUGUCAACCUGCUGAAACUGCAAAGGGCCGGUGUGCCCUGAUCGCACAAACCCACAGGACAGCAAACGUGAGACGGUGCGCGCUUGUCAUCUCCUCCUCUAACAGCUGGAAAAGGGACAUGCAAAGCACCCACUGUGACUCCAGCCACUGCUGCCCGUGCAGCUUUAGACCCUUGGAAGCCGCACAGGCACUUGAGUCUGGCUUUAAAAUACAUCUCAGACUGUUGGGUCAAGUGUCCUUCAGCUGAAGGUUGCUCGUGAUACGCUAAAAAGAUUAUCUAAAUGCUUUAUACAAAUGUCUAAGCAGCGA